ACGGAAGGCAGCAGUGAGGAAUAUUGGUCAAUGGGCGUAAGCCUGAACCAGCCAUGCCGCGUGCAGGAUGACGGCCUUAUGGGUUGUAAACUGCUUUUGUUCGGGACGAGAAUGAGCACGUGUGCUCAAAUGACGGUACCGGAGGAAUAAGCGCCGGUUAACUCCGUGCCAGCAGCCGCGGUAAUACGGAGGGUGCAAGCGUUAUCCGGAUUUAUUGGGUUUAAAGGGUGCGUAGACGGUCUGGUAAGUCAGCGGUGAAUUUGGCCCGCUCAACGGGACAAUUGCCAUUGAUACUGUCGGACUAGAAUGCGAUCGGCGUCGGAGGAAUGCGACAAGUAGCGGUGAAAUGCUUAGAUAUGUCGCAGAACACCGAUAGCGAAGGCAUCCGAUGAGGUCGCAUUGACGUUCAGGCACGAAAGCGUGGGGAUCGAACAGGAUUAGAUACCCUGGUA
rnacentral:rRNA from 1 species